UACGAAAGGUGCAAGCGUUACUCGGAAUCACUGGGCGUAAAGCGCACGUAGGCGGACUCGUAGGUCAGUUGUGAAAUACCUGGGCUCAACCCGGGAACUGCAGCUGAAACCGCUUGUCUUGAAUACCUGAGAGGGUGGGGGAAUACCUGGUGGAGAAGUGAAAUUCGUAGAGAUCAGGUGGAACACCGGAGGCGAAGGCGCCCGCCUGGCAGUGUAUUGACGCUGAGGUGCGAAAGUGCGGGGAGCAAACAGG
rnacentral:rRNA from 1 species